UUGAACGCUGGCGGCAGGCCUAACACAUGCAAGUCGAACGGUAACAGGAAACAGCUUGCUGUUUCGCUGACGAGUGGCGGACGGGUGAGUAAUGUCUGGGAAACUGCCUGAUGGAGGGGGAUAACUACUGGAAACGGUAGCUAAUACCGCAUAAUGUCGCAAGACCAAAGAGGGGGACCUUCGGGCCUCUUGCCAUCGGAUGUGCCCAGAUGGGAUUAGCUAGUAGGUGGGGUAACGGCUCACCUAGGCGACGAUCCCUAGCUGGUCUGAGAGGAUGACCAGCCACACUGGAACUGAGACACGGUCCAGACUCCUACGGGAGGCAGCAGUGGGGAAUAUUGCACAAUGGGCGCAAGCCUGAUGCAGCCAUGCCGCGUGUAUGAAGAAGGCCUUCGGGUUGUAAAGUACUUUCAGCGGGGAGGAAGGGAGUAAAGUUAAUACCUUUGCUCAUUGACGUUACCCGCAGAAGAAGCACCGGCUAACUCCGUGCCAGCAGCCGCGGUAAUACGGAGGGUGCAAGCGUUAAUCGGAAUUACUGGGCGUAAAGCGCACGCAGGCGGUUUGUUAAGUCAGAUGUGAAAUCCCCGGGCUCAACCUGGGAACUGCAUCUGAUACUGGCAAGCUUGAGUCUCGUAGAGGGGGGUAGAAUUCCAGGUGUAGCGGUGAAAUGCGUAGAGAUGUGGAGGAAUACCGAAGGCGAAGGCAGCCCCUUGGGAAUGUACUGACGCUCAUGUGCGAAAGCGUGGUGAGCAAACAGGAUUAGAUACCCUGGUAGUCCACGCCGUAAACGAUGUCGACUUGGAGGUUGUGCCCUUGAGGCGUGGCUUCCGGAGCUAACGCGUUAAGUCGACCGCCUGGGGAGUACGGCCGCAAGGUUAAAACUCAAAUGAAUUGACGGGGGCCCGCACAAGCGGUGGAGCAUGUGGUUUAAUUCGAUGCAACGCGAAGAACCUUACCUGGUCUUGACAUCCACAGAACUUUCCAGAGAUGGAUUGGUGCCUUCGGGAACUGUGAGACAGGUGCUGCAUGGCUGUCGUCAGCUCGUGUUGUGAAAUGUUGGGUUAAGUCCCGCAACGAGCGCAACCCUUAUCCUUUGUUGCCAGCGGUCCGGCCGGGAACUCAAAGGAGACUGCCAGUGAUAAACUGGAGGAAGGUGGGGAUGACGUCAAGUCAUCAUGGCCCUUACGACCAGGGCUACACACGUGCUACAAUGGCGCAUACAAAGAGAAGCGACCUCGCGAGAGCAAGCGGACCUCAUAAAGUGCGUCGUAGUCCGGAUUGGAGUCUGCAACUCGACUCCAUGAAGUCGGAAUCGCUAGUAAUCGUGGAUCAGAAUGCCACGGUGAAUACGUUCCCGGGCCUUGUACACACCGCCCGUCACACCAUGGGAGUGGGUUGCAAAAGAAGUAGGUAGCUUAACCUUCGGGAGGGCGCUUACCACUUUGUGAUUCAUGACUGGGGUG
rnacentral:rRNA from 1 species